rnacentral:rRNA from 1 species
UGAAUACGAGACGCUAAGGCGUCGAAGUAGUGUAUGUCAUACUUCCAAGAAAAGCUUGCACUGUCAUAAAUAAAUAAUGCCUGUACCAUAACCGACACAGGUGGGUAGGUAGAGUAUACUAAGGGGCGCGAGAUAACUCUCUCUAAGGAACUCGGCAAAAUAACUCCGUAACUUCGGGAGAAGGAGUGCCUUAUUUAUAAGGUUGCAAUAACAAGAUCCAAGCAACUGUUUAUCAAAAACACAGGUCUCCGCUAAGUCGCAAGACGAUGUAUGGGGGCUGACGCCUGCCCAGUGCCAGAAGGUUAAAGAAGUUGGUUAGCACUUGCGAAGCUGAUAACUGAAGCCCUGGUGAACGGCGGCCGUAACGAUAACGGUCCUAAGGUAGCGAAAUUCCUUGUCGGGUAAGUUCCGACCCGCACGAAAGGCGUAAUGAUUUGGAUACUGUCUCGGAGAGGGGCUCGGUGAAAUAGACUUGUCUGUGAAGAUGCGGACUACCUGCACCAGGACAGAAAGACCCUAUGAAGCUUUACUGUAACUUGAAAUUGAAAUUGGACUUUAUUUGCGCAGUAUAGGUGGGAGGCGUUGAUUGUAAUCUUGCGGGAUUAUUGGAGCCAUCAGUGAGAUACCACUCUUGUAAUGUUAGAUUUCUAACUUUGUAUCAUUAUCUGGUCAAAGAACAGUUUCAGGCGGGCAGUUUGACUGGGGCGGUCGCCUCCUAAACGGUAACGGAGGCGUACAAAGGUUUCCUCUGAACGGUUAGAAAUCGUAUCUAGAGUGUAAAGGCAUAAGGAAGCUUGACUGUGAGACCUACAAGUCGAGCAGGGACGAAAGUCGGUCUUAGUGAUCUGACGGUACUGAGUGGAAAGGCCGUCACUCAACGGAUAAAAGUUACUCUAAGGAUAACAGGCUGAUCUCCCCCAAGAGUUCACAUCGACGGGGAGGUUUGGCACCUCGAUGUCGGCUCGUCGCAUCCUGGGGCGGUAGUACGUCCCAAGGGUUGGGCUGUUCGCCCAUGAAAGCGGUACGCGAGCUGGGUUCAGAACGUCGUGAGACAGUUCGGUCCAUAUCCGGUGUAGGCGUUAGAAUAUUGAGGGGAGCCUUCUUUAGUACGAGAGGACCGAGAAGGACAUACCUCUGGUGUACCAGUUAUCGUGCCAACGGUAAACGCUGGGUAGCUAUGUAUGGAGUGGAUAACCGCUGAAAGCAUCUAAGUGGGAAGCCCACCUCAAGAUAAG